rnacentral:rRNA from 1 species
GAUGAACGCUGGCGGCGUGCCUAAUACAUGCAAGUCGAGCGAACGGACGAGAAGCUUGCUUCUCUGAUGUUAGCGGCGGACGGGUGAGUAACACGUGGAUAACCUACCUAUAAGACUGGGAUAACUUCGGGAAACCGGAGCUAAUACCGGAUAAUAUUUUGAACCGCAUGGUUCAAAAGUGAAAGACGGUCUUGCUGGCACUUAUAGAUGGAUCCGCGCUGCAUUAGCUAGUUGGUAAGGUAACGGCUUACCAAGGCAACGAUGCAUAGCCGACCUGAGAGGGUGAUCGGCCACACUGGAGCUUGGACGCGGUCCAGACUCCUACGAGAGGCAGCAGUAGGGAAUCGUCCGCAGUAGGCGAAAGCCUGACGGAGCAACGCCGCGUGAGUGAUGAAGGUCUUCGGAUCGUAAAACUCUGUUAUUAGGGAAGAACAUAUGUGUAAGUAACUGUGCACAUCUUGACGGUACCUAAUCAGAAAGCCACGGCUAACUACGUG